UGUCGUGAGAUGUUGGGUUAAGUCCCGCAACGAGCGCAACCCCUGCUGCUAGUUGCCAUCGGUUCGGCCGGGCACUCUAGUGGGACUGCCGGUGAUAAACCGGAGGAAGGUGGGGAUGACGUCAAGUCCUCAUGGCCUCUAUGUCCAGGGCUACACACGUGCUACAAUGGCCGGUACAAACCGUUGCGAGAACGCAAGUUGGAGCAAAUCGGAUAAAGCCGGUCUCAGUUCGGAUUGGGGUCUGCAACUCGACCCCAUGAAGCUGGAAUCGCUAGUAAUCGCGGAUCAGCACGCCGCGGUGAAUACGUUCCCGGGCCU
rnacentral:rRNA from 1 species